rnacentral:rRNA from 1 species
GCCUACAGCCAUACCACCCCGAAGUGUCCAUUUCUGUCUGAUCUUGGAAGCUAAGCAGAAUCGGGACCUGACUAGAAUUUGCAUAGAAAACCUCCUGGAAAUAUCAGGUGCUAUAGGCU